UACAAUUAGACCUGCUGUCAAAAGUCUACAAUUAAAGCAGAGUCCUUGUGCCACACGACUCCAGUUAGCAGCACGCUGAUAUUUUUAAGAUGCAUUUGCUACAACUUGGUCUUUAAAUUCACCACAAAGAAAGUGCAAUCCCAAAAGACUGGAACAUAAAUCCAGUUUUACGAGGGAUGUUGAGAGCCUUUUCCAGCAGCAUGUAGGCUGCUGUCAAUGUCACACAACCCCUAUUUACAUCCUGUGCGGUCCGCAGUCGUAUCCAGAAAGCGGUAUUUAGAGCAACGCUGAUUCCAGGAGGCCACAGGUACAGAGCUGUUAUGGCUGACAUGUUCUCACAAGUGAAGGCAAAUGCUUCUAUUGGUGGAAAAGCAGCUUCUGUGUGCAUUGGAAAAUGAGAUAAGGCUAUGAAACUGCCAACAGUGUUUUAAAAUGUAAUGAGUAAAACAGCCGAAGUGUCUUCAAAAAGCUUUUUUUUUUUUUUUACCACUGGUUGAAAUGGAAAAGACUAAGAUUAGACCAAAUGCAACCGGAAGAUUACAGUUACACAAACCUGAACUCUUUAGGCUAAAGCAGUACAAGCUGAUAAAAUGGUUUAUAUGGAGGUUACAGUAGACUUCCCUCUAAGAAAUCAAUGAAGUCUCCAUAUCCUGCAUGCAAUAAACUUUUUUUUUUUAUUAUUAUUAUUAUUCUUAUUAUUUAAAAAUGCCUUUAAAGCAAAUAUGCUCUACUGACAUUUGUCAAAAGUGAAAUGUUCACGAUUUUUUACAGCAGGUUUGUAUGCAACAUUAAUAAAGCAUGUUUUUUUUUUAUUUACAUACAGUAAAUAUUAUUACAAUUUAAAAUAACUGGGUUUUUUAUAUAU